rnacentral:rRNA from 1 species
UACAGAGGUCUCAACCGUUGUUCGGAUUCAUUGGGCGUAAAGGGUGCGUAGGCGGUCGGGCAAGUCGGAUGUGAAAUCCCAGGGCUCAACCCUGGAACUGCAUUCGAUACUGCCUGGCUAGGGUACUGGAGAGGAGACUGGAAUUUACGGUGUAGCAGUGAAAUGCGUAGAUAUCGUAAGGAAGACCAGUGGCGAAGGCGAGUCUCUGGACAGUUACCGACGCUGAGGCACGAAGGUCAGGGGAGCAAACGGG